rnacentral:rRNA from 1 species
UACAGAGGGUGCAAGCGUUGUUCGGAAUUAUUGGGCGUAAAGCGCGUGUAGGCGGCUUGUUAAGUCGGGUGUGAAAGCCCUCAGCUCAACUGAGGAAGGGCGCCCGAAACUGGCGAGCUUGAGUGUCGGGAGAGGAUGGCGGAAUGACCCAAGUAGAGGUGAAAUUCGUAGAUAUGGGGUGGAACACCGGUGGCGAAGGCGGCCAUCUCGGACGACAACUGACGCUGAGACGCGAA